rnacentral:rRNA from 1 species
CCCUUAGAUGUCCGGGGCUGCACGCGCGCUACACUGUAGAAAGCAGUGUGCUUUAAAACCUUUCCUGAAAAGGAUGGGUAACCCCAGCAAAAUUCUACGUGCUUGGGAUAGAGAUUUGCAAUUUUCUCUCUUGAACGAGGAAUUCCCAGUAAGUGCGAGUCAUCAGCUCGCGUUGAUUACGUCCCUGCCCUUUGUACACACCGCCCGUCGCUACUACCGAUUGGGAAAAUUUUAGAGAGUCCUGGACUGAUGAUUGUUCGGCUUCACGGCCUUACUUUCGUCGGGAAAGAAUUCGAUAAUAUUUUUCUAGAGGAAGUAAAAGUCGUAACA